rnacentral:rRNA from 1 species
CUACGGGGUGCAGCAGUGGGGAAUAUUGCACAAUGGGCGCAAGCCUGAUGCAGCCAUGCCGCGUGUAUGAAGAAGGCCUUCGGGUUGUAAAGUACUUUCAGCGGGGAGGAAGGGAGUAAAGUUAAUACCUUUGCUCAUUGACGUUACCCGCAGAAGAAGCGCCGGCUAACUCCGUGCCAGCAGCCGCGGUAAUACGGAGGGUGCAAGCGUUAAUCGGAAUUACUGGGCGUAAAGCGCACGCAGGCGGUUUGUUAAGUCAGAUGUGAAAUCCCCGGGCUCAACCUGGGAACUGCAUCUGAUACUGGCAAGCUUGAGUCUCGUAAAGGGGGGUAGAAUUCCAGGUGUAGCGGUGAAAUGCGUAGAGAUCUGGAGGAAUACCGGUGGCGAAGGCGGCCCCCUGGACGAAGACUGACGCUCAGGUGCGAAAGCGUGGGGAGCAAACAGGAUUAGAUACCCUAGUAGUC